AGUGAACGCUGGCGGUAGGCCUAACACAUGCAAGUCGAACGGCAGCACAGUAAGAGCUCGCUCUUACGGGUGGCGAGUGGCGGACGGGUGAGGAAUACAUCGGAAUCUACUUUUUCGUGGGGGAUAACGUAGGGAAACUUACGCUAAUACCGCAUACGACCUACGGGUGAAAGCAGGGGAUCUUCGGACCUUGCGCGAUUGAAUGAGCCGAUGUCGGAUUAGCUAGUUGGCGGGGUAAAGGCCCACCAAGGCGACGAUCCGUAGCUGGUCUGAGAGGAUGAUCAGCCACACUGGAACUGAGACACGGUCCAGACUCCUACGGGAGGCAGCAGUGGGGAAUAUUGGACAAUGGGCGCAAGCCUGAUCCGGCCAUACCGCGUGGGUGAAGAAGGCCUUCGGGUUGUAAAGCCCUUUUGUUGGGAAAGAAAAGCAGCAGGUUAAUACCCCGCUGUUCUGACGGUACCCAAAGAAUAAGCACCGGCUAACUUCGUG
rnacentral:rRNA from 1 species